rnacentral:lncRNA from 1 species
GUUAUUUUAUAAUGUUUUCACUUUUUUUCCUGUGCCUCUUUCCAUGUGGACAGUCCCCGUGCUGGGCAUUCUAACAGACAACAUCUCACAGUGUAUUCAGUGUGUAUUCAUGCGGCAGCUAAACCAUUGCCUGCAUACCCUUUUGUGCCCAUUUUCCUAUUUCUGGGACCUUAGGUUAUUUCCAUUUUUUUCCCAAAACUAUAAACAGCACGGUGAGAGAAACCAGUCCCAAAGGUCACUCACCGACGGCGCCGCUGGUGUACUGGUAUUAUGCAAGAUGCCCUCGCAAAGGUCACGCGUUACAUAAUCUAUUGACACCUCUAGCAUGGGAUAGUGACACAUAUAACAGAUACUGACACUCUGUCCAUCACUGAACUGUGUGUGUCCCGGGUUCAAGCGAUUCUGGUGCCUCAGCUUCCUGAGUAGCUGGGACUACAGGUGAGCGCCAUCACACCCGGUUACAAUUUAUGUAAUUAUUUUAAUUAUUUUAUGUCUUUAAGAAACAAUUUGCCUCUGUCAUAUCUCACAUUAAAAUGGAAAAAAAAAUUCCUUAUGUUUGUGUUCUAACAAAUUAAAAGUUGUGUUGUCAGGGAAAAUUAAAACUAAGGGUAGUGUCAGUAGGAAUCUUGGUUCCUGCCAGUUUUGUUGUUUGUUAGCAUAUCUUCCUUUACAGGUAGUAUGGUUUCAUUUUCGUAACUGUAACUCUGCUUAUUUUCAGGAAAAAGAAUGCCUGUGUUUCGAAGUUCCUUCUUAGGACGAAACCAGCUGAAGCUGGCGAAAUCCAAGAUGGCGCCUCUGCCCUCAUCCCGGACGGGCCGGGGAUUGGGACUGGCCUGGGGUCUCCUACUCUCCUACUCCGCGCCCCUCCACCAGCAUCCAGUCACACCUCUGCAGCCUUCAGUGUCCUGGAAAUCAUUUUCUCCUCUAAAUUUGCUCACCUUCUUGUUUUCCCAAUCUUAUUUAUUGUCACAGCCAUUCCCCUGCUGGUCCAAGUCAGUAGUCUGAGAGUCAUGCUAGACUCCUCCUUCCUUAUCUAGCCACAGACCUGACUGGUCUGUAGCCUGUUAGGAACCAGGACACACAGCAAGAGGUGAGCCACCAGUGGGUGAGCUAGUGAAGCUUUAUCUGUAUGUGCAGCUGCCACAAGAAGUGUCAUGUGCUUGAAUCAUCCCGAAACCAUCCUCUGCUGUCCAAGGAAAAAUAGUUUCACUUGUUUGCACAUCUGUCUGGCAUCUUGAGCCCAGGGACCGUGUCGCCUGUCUCCAGCCUGACCAACAUGGUGAAACCUCGUCUCUACUAAAAAUACAAAAAAUAGCCGGGUGUGGAAAAAAAAAAAGUUUGUAGAAUGAAUGAAACAAUUAGUUACACCACAGUUAGUGAGUCAUCGAUACUUCAUCAAGGCGUCUUUGCCCUCAGGUUGCUUAGGUAACGGAAAGGAUAAGAACUCCCCACUGUUCUGGGGCGGAUCUUACAUUGCUUUUGGAAGAGGCAAUAGACUUGGCUUUGUCCUUGGGGCUCAGUGAACAGAUUAUCUGUUUUCAUGGUAAGAAAAAUUAGCCAGGCGUGGUGAUGGGUGCCUGUAAUCGCAGCUACUCAGGAGGCUGACACAGGAGAAUCACUUGAACCCAGGAGGCGGAGGUUGCAGUGAGCUAAGAUCUUGCCACUGCACUCCAGCCUGGGCUACAGAGCAAGACUCUGUCUCAAAAACAAACAAACAAAAAACCCAAAAAUAAUGAAAAUGUCUGCCCACCCUUCACUAAGUAAACAUAAUGAAAAUGCACAUCUUGUGCCCUCUUUUGCUUUUAUUCUAUAAUACCCAAGCCUACGUUUUGGAACUAAACCCCACGCCCUUUGUGUGAAAGCCAUGCGGAUCUUCAAAGGGAUCUCUUUAGGGG